rnacentral:rRNA from 1 species
GAUGAACGCUGGCGGCGUGCCUAAUACAUGCAAGUCGAGCGAACAGACGCGGAGCUUGCUCCUCUGACGUUAGCGGCGGACGGGUGAGUAACACGUGGAUCACCUCCCUAUCUGACUGGGAUAACUUCGGGACACCGGAGCUAAUACCGGAUAAUAUAUUGCACCGCAUGGUUCAAUAGUGAAAGACGGCUUUGCUGUCACUUAUAGCUGGUUCCGCGCCGCAUUAGCUAGUUGGUAAGGUCACGGCUUACCAAGGCAACGAUGCGUAGCCGACCUGAUAGGGUGAUCGCCCACACGGGAACGGGGACGCCGACCAGACUCCUACGGGAGGCAGCAGUAGGGUAUCUGCCGCAAUGGGCGAAAGCCUGACGGAGCAACGCGGCGUGAGUUAUGAAGGUCUUCGGAUCGUAAAACUCUGUUAUGGGGUGUGAACAAAUGUGGAAGGAGAUAUGGACGGCGUGACGGUACCGAGUCAAAAAGCAACGGCUAACUACGUG